rnacentral:rRNA from 1 species
UGGGGAAUAUUGGACAAUGGGCGAAAGCCUGAUCCAGCCAUGCCGCGUGUGUGAAGAAGGUCUUCGGAUUGUAAAGCACUUUAAGUUGGGAGGAAGGGCAGUAAGCGAAUACCUUGCUGUUUUGACGUUACCGACAGAAUAAGCACCGGCUAACUCUGUGCCAGCAGCCGCGGUAAUACAGAGGGUGCAAGCGUUAAUCGGAAUUACUGGGCGUAAAGCGCGCGUAGGUGGUUCGUUAAGUUGAAGGUGAAAGCCCCGGGCUCAACCUGGGAACUGCAUCCAAAACUGGCGAGCUAGAGUAGGGCAGAGGGGGGUGGAAUUUCCUGUGUAGCGGUGAAAUGCGUAGAUAUAGGAAGGAACACCAGUGGCGAAGGCGACCACCUGGGCUCAUACUGACACUGAGGUGCGAAAGCGUGGGGAGCAAACAGG